GAUGAACGCUGGCGGCGUGCUUAACACAUGCAAGUCGAACGGAAAGGCUCCUGCUUGCCGGGGUACUCGAGUGGCGAACGGGUGAGUAACACGUGGGUGAUCUGCCCUGCACUUCGGGAUAAGCCUGGGAAACUGGGUCUAAUACCGGAUAGGACCACAUUUUGGAUGGUGUGGUGGAAAGUUUUUCGGUGUGGGAUGAGCUCGCGGCCUAUCAGCUUGUUGGUGGGGUAAUGGCCUACCAAGGCGUCGACGGGUAGCCGGCCUGAGAGGGUGUACGGCCACAUUGGGACUGAGAUACGGCCCAGACUCCUACGGGAGGCAGCAGUGGGGAAUAUUGCACAAUGGGCGCAAGCCUGAUGCAGCGACGCCGCGUGGGGGAUGGCGGCCUUCGGGUUGUAAACUCCUUUCGCUAGGGACGAAGCGCAAGUGACGGUACCUGGAGAAGAAGCACCGGCUAACUACGUG
rnacentral:rRNA from 1 species